rnacentral:rRNA from 1 species
AGACAGCAGCAGCCGCGGGAAUACGUAGGGUGCGAGCGUUAAUCGGAAUUACUGGGCGUAAAGCGUGCGCAGGCGGUUGUGUAAGACAGGUGUGAAAUCCCCGGGCUUAACCUGGGAACUGCGCUUGUGACUGCACAGCUAGAGUAUGGCAGAGGGGGGUGGAAUUCCACGUGUAGCAGUGAAAUGCGUAGAGAUGUGGAGGAACACCGAUGGCGAAGGCAGCCCCCUGGGCCAAUACUGACGCUCAUGCACGAAAGCGUGGGGAGCAAACAGGAUUAGAUACCCCAGUAGUCCCUGUCUCUUAUAC